UACGUAGGGCGCAAGCGUUGUCCGGAAUUAUUGGGCGUAAAGAGCUCGUAGGCGGCUUGUCACGUCGGGUGUGAAAACCCGGGGCUUAACCCCGGGUCUGCAUUCGAUACGGGCUAGCUAGAGUGUGGUAGGGGAGAUCGGAAUUCCUGGUGUAGCGGUGAAAUGCGCAGAUAUCAGGAGGAACACCGGUGGCGAAGGCGGAUCUCUGGGCCAUUACUGACGCUGAGGAGCGAAAGCGUGGGGAGCGAACAGG
rnacentral:rRNA from 1 species